rnacentral:lncRNA from 1 species
AAUUUGGAUUUUUCUUCUUCGUAGAGUUUUGGGAAGACUGAGGCAAUCGCUGCUGAAGUCAGUGUUGUAAUAGUGAAUCGGGAUUUUUAAAUGAAGUGGGUUUGAAUACUCUUGACUGUUUUGUGAAAUCGAGUUACGUCUGUGAUUGAAGGAUAAAAAGGGUGUCUAUAGGAUUGAGUAUGCGGAGUGAAUGAAAUUUAUUGGGUUAAUCUAACAAGACAGUCAGUGGAUACAAGAUCGUAAGUACAAAGCAGUAUUGAAGGUUAACAGUUUGGGUUGUACGGGGUUCUCUGUAACGUCUAGAGACCUACCGGCUGGGGCAAAAAAAGGACUUUGACAAGCAGUCGAAGAGCACCCGUAUAGAUUUACGGUGUAUUCUUGCAGUCGUUUAUAUUCCAACAGUAAAAACUGAUAGACUGCUUGACUAUCGGCGGAUCUCCAUACUACCUUCUAUAGCCAGACGCCCAGCGCGUUCUCGAGCAGGAAAGCACGUAAUAC